AACUUGUGACAGCACGCCAUUUUUUCCACAUUUAUCAUUUUGAAAUUGAGGCGAAAACCCUCCCAUUUGGAAGUUAAUUUCCGACAAAACUGGUCAAAAGCCAAACAAGCAGCGAAGAGCGCGUAAAACAUGGGAAAUAAAAAUACGAAACAGAAGCACUUCAAGGCGCACCAGGUGACCUCUCCACACAGCAGCGGGCAUGCAGAGAAAUGUAGAUCAACCAACCCCCUUGCAGAAAGAUGCAAGAAGAAGUUCCCAUCACAAAGAAGACACAAAUUCUAAAACAAAACCAAAAAAAAAACGCUGCUAUGAAAACACUUAUCCUGUUUUCGGACAUCUCAAACUGGACACAUAAAUAAUCGAACUGAUGGGAAAUGCAAAUUAAGUGCAAACUGACCCAUGUACCAUUGCGCACGGACACAAUGCCAUCAAAAGCGGAGCAGAAUUCCAAAGCCGACGGCAGUUACAAGGACGAAAGGAAGGUGAGGAGUGUUAGGGCAAGUUCGGCAAAGGCGGCCUGUGCGACGAAAUACAAUUGGAUUAAAAUUUGAAUAAUUUCAUUGCAAUGCGGCCCGUUACUUGCCUAAAAUUUUCACUUUUAUCUCCUGCUUGACCAUUGUCCAGUGUUUCAUUAAGAAAACAACGAACGGCAAUGAAAGAAAUAGCAAAAGAAUAGUUUUGUGGCCUUCGGCUUGCAGCAUAUGCGCGAAAAUAUUGUGACUGGCAACCUGAAAAAAUCCAAUUUUCGCGAAUAUCAUACCGUACGGUCUGUAGAACCGUUUUUAUAAGAUAGGUCAUAGCAGCUGAUACGGUCUACGGUUUUGCGUCGGUGACUGUUUCAAGGGAAAGAGUCCGAUAUCCGAUAAGUUCUAUAACAGAUUGGAUCCUUUGAGAAAUAUUAACACAGAUCAUCAAUAAAACAUCAUUACCGAAAGUGUAAAAUCCUCCUUAAAUCAUCGGUUUCCGAAAAUAACAGUUCACAGAUUCUCACAAAUUUUAUCGCGCCUUUGCAUGCCAUGCAGAUUGAAUAUUUAAUCAUGAUUCCGGGUCUUGGUUAAUGUUAACGCUAAAUAAGAAAUAUCAGCACAAAACUUCAACCUUAAUUCGUUACCGUAGCGCCAUAAAUGAAGCAUUUCUAGAGAAUUUGUUUGACAACAAAAAUACACAACAUAUAUUCUGUCUUUCUUUCAGUCUAUCUAAAAACUGAGCGACACUCUUUUAGGUGUAAACGAAGAACCACAGAUCGAAGUUAACAAGAUCAAGAUAAUUAAUUACCCAUAUGUUACUUUUAUUUUUUAUUUUAUAACUACUUUACUUACUACUAACCAAUAGUUAAUGUUUUGACUAACUAAGUUAUAAGCUUUCCGACGGUUAUGAAUUACUUGAAAUUUAUACCAGAAUAUAUACACAUACAUAAUAUCUCUAUGAAACUCGAAGCGAGUACAAAAUAACGGAUCGUAAGAACCAGUAUCUAAAUUUUCAUAUAAUUGUAUGCUUCGAUCCGAUAAAUAUUAUUAUAUUAGCUUAUAUUUUUAGUUUUGUUAUAAUUUUGGAGCCAAACACGGCAUGGUUUCGAAUUUUUAUAACAUAAAAGGAGGAGUACAACUCUUUCCGUGAUAACCUGACAGUAUUAUAAAUAUAUUACAACUCUUAUUAUCAUAUUUUAGAAUUUUUUUUCGUUUCUGCUAGCUAAAUUUAAUCUAAAAUUAUAUAUAUAUAAAAUAAUAUAUAUAUAUAUUAUAAAGGCAGAUAGCACCAUGGAUAGUGGAAAAAAUUUCUCCA